rnacentral:misc_RNA from 1 species
GGAAUCUUCUGGCACAUGAAUGUCUCCCGAUGACGGGGGCAACUCCACAGCCUGUACAGGAGGACACGGCUCAGAUGGUUCUUCUUUAGUGAAAUCGGAUGAAUUACUCGAAGAUUCGAUAUCCUCGGACAUAUCCGAGCCAGACCCACUAUACCGCAGUGCAUCAGUGUUGGCAGGCAUCUCGCAUCCGUCAACCCUCUGUCUAGUACUUGCUGGCUCUUUCACCUCCGAGACACUCCCCGACAAAACCAGCAGGCCCAGCUUCCUCUUCCUGCAGUUCACACUCAUGCCUAACGUGCCAUUCUUGUCGGGCAUGAGGAACUCGUGGAGCUCAGGAAGCUCCAAAUCCUCAUUAUGUCCAUCCUCAAACACCACGCUGUAGAUGCCAGCUGUGCUAUCAUAGGAUGCAACCUUCCCAAUAAGGAUCCCCGCUUGCAUUGGCGCGUUGCGGCCAAUGUAACGGCCGACCAAGCACUCUCCCACUUCCUCGGCUCGCGCCUGAAGGCCCCCAGCAGAUGUGGCAGCAGACCCUUGAUGCACCACUCUUCCAUCAGCUUCCUCCAUCUUAAACUCGCUGCCCGCCACAGCCACUCCCGCGCGCUCUUGUUCCCUGACAUGGCCGUCGUCCACCUCCAUCAUCACUUCAGACCCCACAGGAUCCAAAUCUCGCACUGCCACAGGAACGAUCCCCACAUCCACCUCGCUGGCCGUACAAGACGGAGAGUGCUGAUUCUGCUUGCUUGCGUCGCCACCCUCGCUCACGUCCAUCUUCUUCACCUCAAACACCGCGGGAUCCACAUCCUGCGCUGCCCCCGCAAUGCCUUGGCCCUGCUCCACCUCACUCACCGCGUGCACAGCAGACCGCCCUUUGCCCGCGCCGCCGUCCGCAUCCGCCUCGGGCGCGGCGGGGCGAUCUCCGCCCGCAGCAGCAGCGGCGCCGCCGCAGCCUUCGUUAACCUCCUCCGCCGUGGGCUCGCUCGCCGAGGCCUCCGCGUCACCCCCACGCCCCGCCGCAGCGGCGCCUCCACCCGGAUCGGCCUCACCGGCCGCGCCUGCCGCUGCAAGCGCUUCCGCCCCACCUGCGAUGUCCGUCUUCACGCCAUCAGCGGCGGCCUCCUCGGGGGAGGCGCCGGGCCCCUGCGGCGUCCGAUCGGGGCCGUCCCGGGGCCCCGGGCCCGCGGCGGUGUCCAUGGCCUCGGACGCGACAACCCUAGCUCGACACGCGCGCGCCCUACUGAGGCAUCCUCGUUCGCGAGUCGCGGGCCAACGGGACGGGUAUCGGAUGCGGCGCGCUGGCGUGGGCGGGAACGAAUCUGGGAUGGGAGCCGCCGAUCUCGCGGCGGCGGCGGGCGAUUGGAGCGGGAUGGGCUCGCAAACCCUACCGGCAAGUGGCGGCGGCGAGGAGUUGGGGGAAGAGGUCGAGAUGAUGAUGGGUGGAUG